GGAGGGUGCGAGCGUUAAUCGGAAUUACUGGGCGUAAAGACGCAUGCAGGUGGUUUGUUUAAGUUCAGAUGUGAAAGACCCGGGGCGUCAACCUCGGAAUAGCAUUUGAAACUAGGCAGACUAGAGUACUGUAGAGGGGGGUAGGAAUUUCAGGUGUAGCGGUGAAAUAGCGUAGAGAUCUGAAGGAAUACCGGUGGCGAAGGCGGCCCCCUCGGACAGAUACUGACACUCAGAUGCGAAAGCGUGGGGAGCCAAACAGGAUUAGAUACCCCUGGUAG
rnacentral:rRNA from 1 species